CUCGUAGGCGGUUCGGCAAGUCGGAUGUGAAAUCUCCACGCUCAACGUGGAGGGGCCAUUCGAAACUGCCGUGACUUGAGUCCGGUAGGGGAGUGUGGAAUUCCCGGUGUAGCGGUGAAAUGCGCAGAUAUCGGGAGGAACACCAGUAGCGAAGGCGACACUCUGGGCCGGUACUGACGCUGAGGAGCGAAAGCGUGGGGAGCGAACA
rnacentral:rRNA from 1 species